rnacentral:lncRNA from 1 species
GAGUUUUUCACAUGUUAUGCUUUCUGAACCAGGAUGAUUAUUUAUAAUCAAAGAACAGGUGGUUUUUGGCGGUUGAUGGAAGUUAUUUAUUUUUAAAAAUUGCCGUUGAUGGAAGUUUUAGUAACUUCCAUGUAACUUCCAACCGUUGAUGGAAGUUUUAGUAACUUCCAUGUAAUUUCCAACCUUUGCCUAAACCGAACAUCUCGUUAUUACAUUAAAACAAGCGUGCACUCUUAUUUUAACAUAAUAAAGAGAUCAAUUACACUAAAAUGUCCAACAAACCUCCCCCAUUUUAGUGUAAUUACCGAUCAAAUCACCAAAGUCAUAACAUACCACAAACUACUGCAUAGAUGAAAUAUCGUGACGAUUGAAUUUCAUCUUAGCAAAUUACACGUUUCAAAUAUUCGAAUAUCAGGGUGUCACUAAGGAUUGAACCCUUUCUAUUCAUAAUGAAUACAUGAAGAUAAUCUGCACAAUAGUUUAUAACAUUACUCUUGCUCGACACUAGUUUUACUAGCCUGUGUCCCUAUCCUUCAUAAGCAUAUCAAAGCCAAGUCCCAGCUUCUUGAAGCGGCUAAACUUCAUGCUUAUAUAGGUAGUCCUUUUCUUUCUUGCACCUGUAAAUGCAAUUUUUCAAAAGAACCAUUGAGAAGUUAUACUUCAACCUCCUUAACUUACAGAACCGAACACAUACCUUUUGGGAUACUUUCGAUGAUGUGUUCCAAUCUCUACAUGUUAAGCUUUCCACAUUGAAUUCAACACCUAAUGUCAUAUUAGAUGGGAAUUGGGUAUCUUAACAUAAGAGAUUUCAGAUGGACUUUAAUCCUAAUCCCACAGCCGACCUUUUUACGAGAUCUCUACUUAACCCUUUGGUUAAAUGAUCGGCCAAAUUAUGCUGAGUUCUCACAAACUCCACUGAUAUCACACCAUGCAUGAUUAACUCCCGAACCAUGUUGUGUCUAACACCCAAGUGUCUAGACUUCCCAUUAUACACUUGACUAUAUGCCUUAGCCAAAGUUGCCUGACUAUCACACCUGAUAGACAUGGGAGGUAUAGGUUUGGGCCACAAUGGAAUCUCAUAGAUUAGAUUUCUUAGCCACUCAGCUUCUUUACCAGCUGCUGCUAAAGCUACAAAUUCAGAUUCCAUUGUUGAAUUUGUAAUGCAGGUCUGUUUCUUGGAUGCCCAAGAGAUAGCACCUCCUCCAAGGAGGAAUACCCAACCACUUGUGGAUGAAUAAUCCUCCAUAUUGGUUAUCCAACUUGCAUCAGAGUAACCUUCAAUAACCGAAGGAAAUCCAGUAUAUGUCAAACCAUAGUCAAUGGUUCCCUUUAAGUACUUGAAUACUCUAUUCAUAGCUUGCCAAUGAUGAGAACUAGGAUUACUUGUAAACCUACUGAGUUUAGCAACAGCAUAAGCUAUAUCAGGCCUAGUACUAAUCAUUGCAUACAUGAGUGAUCCUAUCGCCCUUGAGUAUUCAAGUUGAGACACUGCUACACCUUUAUUAGAUAAUAGCUUCAGGUUAGGAUCAAUGGGAGUACUUACCGGAGAACAAUCUUUAAAAUUAAAUUUAUCCAAUAUCUUCUCAAUAUAAUGUGAUUGAGAGAUGGAAAUACCAUUGUUUCCACGUUUGAUCUUUAUUCCUAAGAUCACAUCCGCCUCCCCCAUAUCUUUCAUAUCAAACUUAGAAGACAAAAAUGCCUUAGUUUCAUCAACUUGAUCUUGGUCGGUACCAAAGAUCAACAUGUCGUCUACAUACAGACAAAUGAUAACUCCUUUGCCAUGAGUAUCAAACUUGCUGUAUAGACAUUUAUCUGCUUGGUUUAUAACAAAACCACUAGACAACACAACCUCAUCAAAUUUUUGAUGCCAUUGCUUAGGCGCUUGUUUCAAGCCAUAAAGAGAUUUCAUCAGUUUACACACCUUAUUUUCAUUUCCUGGCAUAACAAACCCUUCAGGUUGUUUCAUGUAUAUCUCUUCAUCCAAUUCACCAUUUAAGAAUGCAGUUUUCACAUCCAUUUGGUGAAUCAUCAGAUUGUGGAUAGCAGCAAGUGCUAACAACAGUCUAAUAGUGGAUAUCCUAGCAACAGGAGCAUAUGUAUCGAAAAAAUCAAUACCCUCCUUUUGCCUAAAGCCUUGGAUAACCAAUCUGGCUUUGUACUUGUCAACAGUACCAUCCACUUUCAUCUUUCUCCUAAAGAUCAUCUUACAUCCUAAUGGCUUACAUCCAGGAGGUAAGUCAACCAAUUUCCAUGUAUUAUUUUGCAUGAUGGAAUCCAUCUCACUUUGGAUUGCUUCUUUCCAGAAUACAGCAUCCCUUGAAGCCAUUGCUUCACUAAAAGUCUUUGGGUCUUCCUCAACAUUAAGGCAAUAUUGAUAUUGAAAUUCAAUAUCAUUCCUUGACCCUUCAACCAAAUAGAGUUGAAAGUCAUCACCAAAUGACUUAGCUUUUCUUACUCUCGUACUCUUUCUAGUUUCAGUACUAGUUGAAGGUAUAUCCUCAAUAUUAACUGAGACUUUCGACAUGGAAUUCAUGUCUUUUGGCCUAGGUAUAGAUGUAAACCUUUGUUCAUCAAAGAUAGCAUCCCGUGACUCUAUAACCGAGUUCACAGCAACAGAAUCAUUAGAUUCUAGCACAUAGAAUCUAUAUGCUUUAGAAUGUUCAGCAUAUCCAAUAAAUAUGCAAUCUAUACCUCUUUCACCUAUGGUUUUCCUUUUAGGUUCUGUAAGCCUGACUACAGCCCUACAUCCCCAAAUUUUGAGAUAACUCAAAUUUGGUGUCUUUUUGUGCCAAAGUUCAUAUGGGGUAACCUUAUUCCUUUUGUUAGGAAUUCGGUUCAACAAGUAACAGGCUGUCAACAUAGCCUCACCCCAAAAUCCUUCACUUAAACCCGAAUAGGAUAACAUGGAAUUCACCAUUUCUUUCAAGGUUCUAUUCUUCCUUUCGGCUACACCAUUCUGUUGUGGUGUAUAGGGAGCUGUAGUUUGAUGUAUUAUUCCAGUAGAUUGAAAAUAAACCGGAUCAUAAUACUCACCUCCCCUAUCCGUACGAAGAGUUUUGAUUAGCCCAUUUUGAUGAAGUUCUACCUCUUUCUUAUAAAUUUUAAAUUUAUCAAGAGCUUCAUCUUUUGUAUUUAAUAAAUAUACAUAACAAUACCUUGAUGCAUCAUCAAUAAAAGUAACAAGAUAUUUUUUAUGACCUAAUGAUGGAGUAGCAUGCAAAUCACACAAAUCACUAUGAAUAAGGUCUAAGACUUUAGUCUCACUUUUAACAUCCUUAAAAGGUUUCCUAGUGAUCUUGGUCAACAUGCAAGUUUUGCAUUUUCCAAUGUUCAUAUCAAAAGGAGGAAUCAUACUUGUUUUUGACAUAUCUUUUAAUCUUUUGUAAUGAACAUGUCCUAAUCUAGCAUGCCAAAUUUCUGAUUUUGUCAUAUUAGUUAUAGAACUACACGAGGCCAUACAAACAGAUUCAUGAACAAAAGGAACAUCAAUGUUUAAUUUAAACAUUCCAUUACAACGAUAACCAAAUCCAACAAACGAACCAUGUCUUGACAAGAUGUACUUGUCACUUUCAAGUACUUGCUUGAAACCACAAUUAUUUAAAACCAUACCAGACAAUAAGUUCUUACGAAUACCAGGUACAAAUAAGACAUUAUCCAAAUACAAACUUUUUCCGGAAGUAAAAACUAAAUUCACACAACCUAAUCCUAGGAUUGGUUCAGUUGCAACAUUGCCCAUCUUCACAAUAGAGCCAUCAUCGAUUGGUCUAAAUUCCUUGAACCAACGACGAUCUUUGCACACAUGGCUUGUUGCUCCCGAAUCAAACCACCAAGCAACGUCAUCAUCUUGCACAUAGAAUGCAUCAGAUAUUAGUGAUACAUAAUUUGAAUUCGUAUUCGAAUUAAAAUUAUUCACUACAAUCUGACCUUGUUGCUUUUCAGGAUCAUUAGACCCACUUGGACCAGCCUUGUUCUUUCCUUUGAACACCCGGCAAUCCCUCUUUAAAUGACCAGGUUUCCCACACUUCCAACAUGACAAUUUUGUCUGUUUGUUUGGACCUUUGUUCUUAUUUCCUUGAAAUUUUCGUUUGUUACCUUUAGCAUUGUAAUUUUGCUUAACUGUUCCACUUUCCUCUACCAUAUUAACGGAAGAGGAACCUGCUACGGUUUUAUUAUUGACUUUGUCAAUUUCCUGAGCCCUCAGCGACUCCUCAAUCAUGAAAUGACUGCCGAGUUGAACCAGAGUCAACUCUUCCUUCAUAUGUUUCAAGGUAUGCUUGAAGUCUUUUCAAGAAGAAGACAGUUUAUCAAUUAUAGAUGAAACUGCAAUGAAUUCAUCCAUUUUCAAAUCAUGUUGAGUAAACUGACCCAAAAUCCGCAGCAGUUCAUUAUAUUGCUCCAUAACAGGCCUCGAAUCAAUCAUUUUGUAAUUAAAGAAAUUACUAACUAAGAAUUUGUUACUUGAGGCAUCUUCUGCCAUAUACUUGGAUUCAAGAGAGUCCCAUAAUUCCUUAGCAGACUCAACAUUUUGAUAAAUAUCAAAGAGAGAGUCAGACAUACCGUUCAGAAUGUGUCCACGACAAAUGUAAUCGUCGUUCUCCCAUUUCGAACGCUUCCUUGUUUGAUCCAGAGUUUCGCCUUCCAUAUACACCGGCAUCGGUGUACUCAGCACAUACACCACAUUCAAUGUUGUCAAGAGAAAGUGCAUCUUCUUCUGCCAUCUUCUGAAAUCCUGCCCUUCAAACUUGUCCAACUUUGCAAACUUGCUUGUCAUCUUCGAACUAUCGUUCGUCAUCUCGAAAGAUUUGAUUCAAUCUUUUGUUGGUUAAUUUUGAAAAUCGAGAUAAUCCUGGAUAAAUCUGAAGUCGUGUAUAAACACUUUCAGAUUGAAUCAAAUUUCGGGGUUCAACCAAAAUUGUUCAAUCGGAUAAAAUCAGAAGAUUAUAAUUCAAGAGUUUUGUUUUGGUCUUGUGAGUUUUUCACAUGUUAUGCUUUCUAAACCAGAAUGAUUAUUUAUAAUCAAAGAACAGGUGGUUUUUGGCGGUUGAUGGAAGUUAUUUAUUUUUAAAAAUUGCCGUUGAUGGAAGUUUUAGUAACUUCCAUGUAACUUCCAACCGUUGAUGGAAGUUUUAGUAACUUCCAUGUAAUUUCCAACCUUUGCCUAAACCGAACAUCUCGUUAUUACAUUAAAACAAGCGUGCACUCUUAUUUUAACAUAAUAAAGAGAUCAAUUACACUAAAAUGUCCAACAUGCACACUUCUCCUCAUGCCCCCUACUUCCACCUGUACAUUUGCUACCUCUGCUUUGCUGACAUGGCUUGUCCUGUGACUUAAUUGUUUUGCUAUGCAAUUUUUAUUUUUCCUCCAUCCGUAUCAUAUCAACAUCGCUGACUGGCAGAUUAGACCACUCUCUAGUCUUAGAGAGCAUUGCAUGAAAACUUACAAAUUAAAGUAUCCCCCUAAAAUAUUAAACUAGCUAGCAUCAAGUUGACAGAAUAGUGAGAAAAUCAGAUCUAAUUAUUCAUUCCAGCAACAAGGAAAACAUCUACCCUCAAGAAGACCUACUCUCGAGUCCUAAACGAUGUAAAUUAGUUAAGUUAGUUGCAAAGUUGUUUUUUACUUUUUUGUAUAGACCACAUACUCCACCGGAGGAAAUCUGUUUGAGCACCAUAGGACCACUAACGUAACAAAGUUCUCUCUAAGUAUUUA